UACGGAGGAUCCAAGCGUUAUCCGGAUUCAUUGGGUUUAAAGGGUGCGUAGGCGGAAUGAUAAGUCAGCGGUGAAAUCCCUCGGCUUAACCGAGGAACUGCCGUUGAUACUGUCAAUCUUGAGUACAUUUGAUGUGGGCGGAAUGUGUCAUGUAGCGGUGAAAUGCUUAGAUAUGACACAGAACACCGAUUGCGAAGGCAGCUCACAAAACUGUAACCUGACGCUGGAGGCACGAAAGCGUGGGU
rnacentral:rRNA from 1 species